rnacentral:misc_RNA from 1 species
AGCGAUUUCACUCGCCUGCAAUCGAAGAUCGCGGCGAUGGAGUUCUUCGGGAAGUUGCGAAAACUGGACGCGUACCCUAAGGUGAACGAGGACUUCUAUAAAAGGACUCUCUCUGGCGGGAUCAUCACGAUCGUGUCGACGGCGGUGAUUGUGCUGCUUUUCUUCUCCGAGCUUAGAUUAUUUAUUUAUUCAGCGACUGAGACUAAGCUUGUAGUAGACACUUCAAGAGGGGAGACACUACGAGUCAAUUUCGAUGUUACUUUUCCAGCCCUUGCCUGUUCGCUUCUCAGUGUUGAUACUGCGGAUAUCAGUGGCGAGCAACAUUAUGAU